GACGAACCGUGCGAACGUUAUUCGGAAUCACUGGGCUUAAAGCGCGUGUAGGCGGGACGGCACGUCGGUCGCUGAAAUCCCCCGGCUCAACCGGGGGAACGGGCGCCGAUACGACCGCCCUGGAGGGACGUAGGGGGACCUGGAACUUCCGGUGGAGCGGUGAAAAUGCGUUGAGAUCGGAAGGAACGCCCGUGGCGAAAGCGAGGUCUGGACGUUUUCUGACGCUGAGACGCGAAAGCCAGGGGGAGCGAACGGG
rnacentral:rRNA from 1 species